rnacentral:misc_RNA from 1 species
AACCAUAGAAACCUGCGGAGUACCUGCGGAAGGAUCAUUAUUGAAUAUAAAGCUUGGUAUAUAGACUGUUGCUGGCUCUUUGGAGCAAUGUGCACGUCUAUUGCCGACUUUUUAUCAACCUCCACCUGUGCACUUUAUGUAGAUCUGGAUUAUUAUUCGAGGUGUAACAAACUCGGUCUGAAGAAUUGCGAUAAUCAGCUUUUCUUCAACAAUUCAGAUCUAUGUUUCUAUUAUAACUCC